UACGUAGGGUGCAAGCGUUAAUCGGAAUUACUGGGCGUAAAGCGUGCGCAGGCGGUUUUGUAAGUCUGUCGUGAAAUCCCCGGGCUCAACCUGGGAAUUGCGAUGGAGACUGCAAGGCUAGAAUCUGGCAGAGGGGGGUAGAAUUCCACGUGUAGCAGUGAAAUGCGUAGAGAUGUGGAGGAACACCGAUGGCGAAGGCAGCCCCCUGGGUCAAGAUUGACGCUCAGGUGCGAAAGCCAGGGGAGCGAACGGG
rnacentral:rRNA from 1 species